GUGCUCUUUCAAUCUAGGAACCGCAGGUACGGACCAAUGGCACAAUACUUGUUCGAGCGAACAGUGGUAUGACGCUACGUCCGUUGGAUUAUGCCUGAACGCCUCUAAGGUCAUAUCCGUGCUGGACUGCAAUGAUAAAUAAGGGCAAUUUGCAUUGUAUGGCUUCUAAACCAAAAGUUUAUUAUUCAUUAAAUAGACGACAAUGGAUGUGUUGCCAAUGUUACGUAUAACAUAGUAAAUUGGGAGGAUCUUCGAUCACCUGAUGCCGCGCUAGUUAUAUAUCAAAACAUUAUUUAAUACAAUGACAAAGCCUAGAAUCAAUUGUAAACGACUUUUGUAACAGGCAAGGUGUUGUAAUUGGUUGAGCAGCUGCCAUACUGCGAUCCACUGAAGCUUAUCCUUUGCUUGAUGAUUCGA